rnacentral:rRNA from 1 species
AUGAUCUGCGGUGUGGAGGAACAUAGGUCGUAUUCUUAUUGCCACCAUGUUAACUUCCUGGCGGUUUCCGAGGGUUCAGCACCACGAGUCCUCUUUUUUGCUCAACUUCGGAUGUCAAGAUCUCAGGGCGAACAAUCUGGUGGUGGUUCGUUUUGCUGCCCGCUUCCUUAUUAUGAUGCCAACAAUCCAUUUCCAGGACGAUGCUCAAUGUGUGAGGCCAGUAUGGGAAAAAUAAUACACCCUGCUUCUGGUGCUCACAUCGGCCCGGUGCACACGGAACCUACAAGUACAGUGGAUUAUGUAUACGCGAAUGCUCCAGUGUCAAUGAAAUGCUAUCAGACUGAUAUGGAUGACCUUGUUGAGUCCGAGUUAACCUACUGUACUGAACCAUUGGAUUACUUUUCUACUUGGUCAGAAGCUACGAUGUUGUGA